rnacentral:rRNA from 1 species
GGCGAACCGUGCGAACGUUGUUCGGAUUCACUGGGCUUAAAGGGCGCGUAGGCGGCUCGCCAAGUCGGGGGUGAAAUCUUUCGGCUCAACCGGAAAACAGCUUCCGAUACUGGCGGGCUCGAGUGGGGUAGGGGCGACUGGAACUUCUGGUGGAGCGGUGAAAUGCGUAGAUAUCUGGAGGAACACCGGUGGCGAAGGCGGCAUCCUGGACCAACACUGACACUGAGGAGCGAAAGCCAGGGGAGCAAACGGG